rnacentral:rRNA from 1 species
GAUGAACGCUAGCGGCAGGCCUAAUACAUGCAAGUCGAACGGGAUCCAGAUCAAAGCUUGCUUUGGUCUGGUGAGAGUGGCGCACGGGUGCGUAACGCGUGAGCAACCUACCCUUGUCAGGGGGAUAGCCCGGCGAAAGUCGGAUUAAUACCGCAUGACAUCAUUGAGAGGCAUCUUUCGAUGAUCAAAGAUUUAUCGGACAAGGAUGGGCUCGCGUGACAUUAGCUAGUUGGUAAGGUAACGGCUUACCAAGGCUGCGAUGUCUAGGGGCUCUGAGAGGAGAAUCCCCCACACUGGUACUGAGACACGGACCAGACUCCUACGGGGGGCAGCAGUAAGGAAUAUUGGUCAAUGGACGGAAGUCUGAACCAGCCAUGCCGCGUGCAGGAGGACGGCCCUAUGGGUUGUAAACUGCUUUUAUACGGGAACAAACGUCGGUACGUGUACCGGUCUGAGUGUACCGUAAGAAUAAGGAUCGGCUAACUCCGUG